GCCAGUUUCAGAAUAUUUCCUUGGCAAUGACAUGGACAGAGAGGGACUAGUUUUGAUGGCAAAGCACAUUUCCAACUUUCAGCAGCAAAUCAGGACAGGACAUUUUAUAUGAAGCAAGAAAGAAUUACCCAGCAUGUCAAGAGAAGGUGCCAAAUCUCGCCACCUCUGCCAAGUUCAUGGGCUGAAGGGAGAAUGCAAUGACCCUGAACAGAGGCAAGCAGGGGAGACUAGCUAUUGUUCCUGGAGCACAAUGCCUGCCAGAAUCAAAACAGACAGAGAUGAACAAAUGCUAAUUUCUCCUUUUCCGCCAUGAGACACCAGAGUAAAAAAUGCUAAUGGCAUCUGCCAGGGCCUGAGAUAAAAAGUCUGUGUGUUUGUGUGUGCUUAUGUGGUUGGGUUUGAACUGCAAGAUAAGCCGGCAAACAAGGUAAUUAAAAUAAUUAAAAUGCUAAUCAAAGGGGGGCAUCGAGCAGAAUGAUACACAGACAGUGAGGGGGUAGGGAAGGUGAAAUGUUGGAAGAGGAGGGCAAA
rnacentral:lncRNA from 1 species